rnacentral:lncRNA from 1 species
CUGUGAGCCAAAGAAACCGCUUUUCUUUAUAAAUUACCCAGUUUCAGGUAUUUCCUUGCAGCAACAUGAAAGACUAAUACAGUGGGGCCCACCAAGCUGCCUCGUAGCCGGAGGGAAUCUCUUUGGCCAACAGUUGGCCUUGAGAAUGUCAAACAGACAUGCAGAAUCUAAGAAAACACAGAACGGGCAGACAGAGAGUGGGCUUUUCCUUCAUGUUGGGUAUUAGAAAAGGGGAGAUUCCCAUUCCUGAGGCUGUGUCAGGGUGUGGGGGGUGUGGCCUGCCCUGGCCUGAGGUGUGCUCCUUUUAAGACUUCCCACCCAUUGGUCAAAGCGUCCACCCUGAAUGGACCAGGUUGCUGGUGGACACUGAUCCCUGUGGCCAGGGCCUCCGAGCAUUUGGUGUUCAGCUCAUCGGGGACUCUGUGGACACCAGAGGGCAGAAUGGGGUCUGUCUGCCCAAAAGCCCCGUGGGGAGUGAGCGUGAAUUACCCCAGAGUCUGUGUAGGGAAGCCUCCUGGAGCCUGGUGCUUUCUCCUUUACAGUGGCUUUCAGUUUGUGGAUUUUUCUGAAGUUAUUGGCCUUGGAGCUUGCGUCAAGUUUCCCGAAGACCACUCCCAGUGUUGGUGAUUUUCUCAGGAGGACUCACAGCCCUCAUCACGUGGUGCUAUCCUCACAGCAUGGUUCAUUACUACGAAAGGACACAGAGCAAGCCAGCAGGGGAAAGUCACGUGGGGCAGAGUCCGGGGAUCUGGGCGCAAGUUCCCAAGAGCCUGUCCUGGUGCAGCUACACAGGACAAGGUUAUUUUCUCCAGUGUCAGGUUAUGACAACACUUGUGAACUGUCAGCUACAGGAUACUCUUAGGGACUCAGCGCCCAGGGUUUUUACUAGGGCGUAGCAUGUACCCAAAUUCUAGGCUCCCUGAGGGAAAGCAGGUGUUCAGUGGAAAGCACACUUGUUAAAAGUGGCUGAGGCACAGGGAGCCACCCUUACCAUCUGGGGACGCUGGGGAUCCUGCAGCCCACUGUGCAGGGAUGGGGGUGCCGUGCUGCAUCCCAGGGCUGAGGAGGAUUGUUUGGCUGGGGGGCUCUGUCAGUAGAAUGCAGAGGGGAGGGUCCCUCCUGAUGUUCCCAGGAGUGAAGGCAGCUCUUCAUAGUGAGUCUAGUGUUGGGCCCUGCACUAACACAAGCAGGUGCCCGGCAGGCGUUUGCCGAGGGAGGGGAAGAAUGAAGCAAUGUAUGGUGGGGUUUCUAGAACCCUCCCUGGGGAUGGCUUCUCCGUGGAGGGUAGUGAAUCCCACAGCCCCACAAGGCCCUCAGCUGGGGUGAGUUUCAGGCCACAGCGGCUCACUGGCCCUGUGACCUGAUGUGAGGGCCACCAGGGCAGGGCUUUUAGAUGCUUCCCCUGUGCUGUGUUCUCGGAGGCCUGAACACAGAGGCUCACUAAAUACUUGCUUGUUGAGAAAGGCCAAUCCCUAAACAAACCACUGUGAUGGGGGCUUAGCAGAUGCCAGUUGACUUAGCUUGUCCCCACUGUCCUUGGAGCCUGAGGCAAAAGGAGCUUCCCCUCAUGCACCAGAGACCCUUCCCUUCUGUGGGAAGAGGAAAGGGUUACCUGGGAGACUCUGUCCUGUUCUGGCACAGGAAGGGGGAAAGGACAUGGCUAGCAAGCUUGGCGGGGGCCACUGCAUGUGGCUUGGGCUGCUGCCCAUAGGCAGGAUGUCCUCUGUGGCCAGGGGCUGGCUGAUUUCCGCCUUGUGUUUUUGCCUCUUUGCUCUUCUGGGAGGAGGAAGCUGGAUCUGGGAGUGGGGCAAGGGGAGGCUGGCGGCUGCAGGAGGGAUGCCUGAAACCCAGCCUUCCUUGGUCCGUGGCCUGAGGUGAGGCCACACAGGGUGGUGAUGGCCUGCCCUUGCUGGAGCACGUGCAGCUUCUGCGUCAUGAGCUUGGAGACCAGGGCCACGCUCUGUGUUGUCAUCUGUGCUGCUUCCCUGUCCCCAGGGCUACUUAGCCCCUUCGGGAACUGCCCCUUCCUGCAGGGGUGACAGGGAUCCCUCCCUGAGGCAGAACUCCACCCCCGAAGCCCAUGUGGCCCUUCCCUGGCAUGUGCUCCCUUGCCAAGGGAGCUACCAUGGAAGGUGUCUCAUGGGUUCCUGGGGGCUGCCUCUGAGCUGUGCCGGCUGUUCUCCACAUGAGGGCCCUGGCAGACGGACCACUGGGCUGGAAUCCAUGCUCUGCACCCUGGGCUGGGCUGUUCUGUCCAGAGGAAGGGGCUCCCCCUCCCACUUCUCACAAAGGGACCCUGUGGACGAGCAGGGGCAGGGGAGCCUGGCACAGCCCAGGCGGGGCAGGCUCUUCUCCCUGUAGUGCCCAGAUUAUGACGAGUGACCCGGUUCCUGGGCUGCUGUUACGUGUGCGGGGCUCUGAGCUGCUUCUGCAGGUUCUGCUGCAACCACAGUAUUAGGGUGCAAGGAACAUGGGGUGAGGGCCUUGGAGCUGCCGGGGCUCUUGGAGCUUUGUCCUUAGCGCUUGCCAGCUUUGGAGAACUUGCCUGCAGUUCCCAGUGUGGCUGAGAGUACAGACUUGAAGGACACACAGAGAAAGGGCAAGGUCGAGCUUGGCCUUUGCAUCUGGAUGGUGGCCAGGCUGUUGGCCACACCCUGGGGGUAGUUUAUGUGACAGCUGUUGCCUCCACUGGUUGGGGCAGGACUGCUGGGUGGUAGUACUGUGGAGAGCUCACGUUGGCUUCACUGCAAGGCCCGCAGUUGCCCCUCAUGUCUGUUUCUCUACUUGUCCAUCUGGAAACUCUACCCAAGCUCCAAGACUCAGCCCAAAGUCUCCUCCUCUGUGAAACCACCCUGCCCGUAGCCUGACUCUCCAGGGAGAAUUAAUUACUUUUAGAAGAAACACACACUCAUUCCACCUUCCGAGGACAGCAUCUUGCUCUAGUGACUCAGUCUGGGAAAGACAAAAACUGUGAUUUGAUGGAGUGAUUGUUGGUGCUCUUGGCAGUGUGUGUGUGUGUGUGUGUGCACGUGGAGGUUGUGUGUAUACAUGUGUAUGUAUGCAUGUGUGUACCAGCACACACACAGGAAAGUGCAUGGGUAGGCUUAGUAAUCUAGAACCUCUUAAGCAUCACCCAGGGCUUGUGAUGGGGCCUGUUGAUUUAUCGUCUUAUCAUGAUGUUUUUACCUGAAACUAUUUUCAGCUCGAUUUCUGUUUGACAGGGUACCGAGUGAGACCCAGCUGACCUGGAAAAUGACAGGGACACUUUUUAUCCUUCCAACUUAACCUUUCCGUCCUGACUUAACCUUUCCCUCUUUGACACAAAUGAAGAAAUUAGGGCUCUUGACUGCUACUGAUUUAAGGGGAUUACAGAGGCACUGCCAGCGAGCAUGAGCACAAGAGUUUAGCGCCUCUCGGCAGCUGAGAGAGGAUGCUGCAUACUUGGGGCCUGGGACCUCCGAGAAGACCUUCUUCAGCCGAAAGCACACCUUAUUCUUGUCCCAGUUGAAGGCUUCCCAACGGUCUUCAUGUGGCACUUGCUGUGUGCCAGGCCCCACUCUGGGCACUUGGUUUAUUUAAUUCUAACCAUGGUCCUAGGUGAUGGGCGCUGGUAUGACUGUGGGAAAGGGACAAGGUGGGAGAUGUGAACGAACUUCCGGAGCCCUCCCUCGGGCAGCCUAGCUCCCCGCCUCCUCCAACACCUUCUGUUGCUUUUCCAGCACAGCCAGUACUGGGCUCUUGGGUUCGAGCACGGGGCGGGGUGAAGGGUGCUGGGAGGUCACAUUCUUGCUUCCCAGCACUGAAGACUGGAAGAAUGAAUGGCACAGAUGAACAAGGCCGUCCUGCAUCCGCCGCUCACUAGAGGCUUCACAGCUGCGUAGGGACACAGGACAUCUGUACAAUAAAUACCAAUGGUAUUAGUGCCCUAGGGCUGCAGGAACAAAGCACCACAGACUGGGGGUGCUGGAACAGCAGAAACUCAGGCUCUCCCAUUUCUGGAUGCCGGAAGUCCAAAAUCUAGUGUCGGCAGGGCUGUGUCCUCUCUGAGGUUUCCAGGGGAGGAGGCUUCCUUGCUUCUCUGGCUUCUGGUGGUGGCUGGCAAUGCUCGGCAUUCCUUGGCUUAUGGACGCAGCACUGAAAUUGCAGCCCUUAUCUUCAUGUGGCCUUCCUUGUGGCGCUCUGUGUCCAAAUGUCCCUCUCCUCUAAGGACACCAGUCAUCGGAUUAGGCCAGCUCUAAUCCGGUGUGCCUCAUCUUGAUUUAACUAACUACAUCUGCAAAGACACUAUUUCCAGAUUACGUCACGUUCCGAGGUUCCUGGUGGACGUGAAUUUUUGGAAGACGCUGUCCAACCUGGGACACCAGCCAGCCCCUCUCUGGCUCCCUCAGUCCCUCCACCCUUCGGAAGUGGUAAAUGGUGGCUUGCUAACAGCGCCUGUAGCAGCCACCUCCUGGUGAUGGCAAAGGAAGGGCCCUCUCAGUCAUAGGGGCCAAUGGCGAGGAGGACCUGGGACGUGGUGCACUGAGCAUUUUCCCUUCUCAGCAGCUCACUCCUUUGUGUGUCUGUGAUGCGAAGGCUGUGACAUCAGUCAGCCUCAUGGAGAACUGGAACAACGGGCUCUGUGUCUUUGGAGAACGCGUCAAGACCAGGGCCUCUUCCCCUGCUCCCAUGGUUCCCAGCGUUCUUGUCUCCUGAGAGAGGAUGUAGUGGGUGUCAUGUUCAGCAUCGCAACUGGCCUCCGUGGAAACCAGGGUGGAGCUCAGACGGGUGUGGGGGGAGCAUGUGACUGAGCUCCUUCCCACUCUCUCUCCGGCACACACGGAGUCAGUGUAGGGAGGUGAUGGGUAGACUCAGCCUGUGGGAUUCUGGCCUGGCUUCCCGGCAGCAAGCAGGAGCUUCAGAUGCUCAUUCCCGCCGCGGUCGGCUGUGGCGGCGACUCAUACCCGUUUCCGCUCGAAUGAUGCCAGCUGUCCUGCUGCGCCACCUUCCUCUGUCCUCGCAUCCGCUGAUGGGAUUUCCGGUCGCUUCCACUUUGUGGCUCUUUUGAAGAAUGCCGCUAGGAACAUUCACACGCAGGUUCUUGGCCAUAAAAUAUGGCUUUUGGAAAAAUAAAGCUGAGACUUGGAGUUCACGGUGGGGGCUCCCCCAUCUGUGAACAGAAGCAGAAGUUUGGAACUGCCUUCUUUACUGCUCGAGAGGGAAAACUUGAGUGAAAACCAGGAUGCUGGCGAAUGUUGAGUAGCUAAGCUGCACAGGAAAUACCACUUGAUGACCUGCGAUCUGGGGAAGCCGCGCCAGGGCUCUGCGAAGCUGCGGACGAGGGAGGCGUCAGUGUGGGGGCUGCAGCUCAGCUCCGGGGGGGACGCGCCUUUCUCCACGGGACCUGGGGCUCAGGUGCUCACGAGGCUGGGGCGCUGCAGGCCACCCGCAGGGGAAACUGAGGCCCUCCAUUUUGUGGGGCUGGAAGACCUUUCCUUCCAAAAGCAGGUGUAGGCGGGAGCACCUGUGCAGUCCCUCUGUUCAGAUCCUCACCCACUUUUAAAUCAGGAAACAGCAGAUGAAAUGCACAGUGUGAAGGACAAGGAUUCUGCUGAGAGAAUUGCUCCGAGGGUUGCUCAAGUGAUCAUGGGAAAUAAUGCAUCAAACCAUUCUUUAGAUGCAGCUCAGGUGUGCCUUUUCUUCGCCUGUGCCCAUCCACCUGAGAUGGACCAUAACCAUAAAAGUCAGAAGGCACUGACCCUUCAGGACGUGACAGGGUUAAAAGAUGCUGGAGGGAAAGUCUGUCAUUGACUUUUAUUCACUUCCUUUCUCCAUUCUGCCAUUUGGAAGAAGGCUGGAGUGCAAUGGCGCGAUCUCGGCUCACUGCAACUUCCGCCUCCCAGGUUCAAGUGAAUCUCCUGCCUCAGCCUUCCGAGUAGCUGGGACUACAGGCACGUGCCACCAUGCCCAGCUAAUUUUUGUAUUUUUAGUAGAGAUGGGGUUUCACCAUGUUGGCCAGGAUGGUCUUGAUCUCUUGACCUCAUGAUCUGCCCGCCUCAGCCUCCUAGAGUGCUGAGAUUACAGGCGUGAGCCCCCGUGCCUGGCCUUGAAUGGGAUUAGUGUUUUAAAGAGGCCUGAGAGAGACUCCUGGCCACUUUUGCCUUAUGAGGACACAGUGGAAAGGUCCCAUCCCUGAACCAGGAAAUGGGCACUUACCAGACACUGAAUCUGCCUGCAGCUUGACCUUGAACUUCCCAGCCUCCAGAACUCUGAGGAAUAAAUUUCUGUUAUGUGAUAAGCCAUUCAGUCUGUGGUAUUUUGUUAUACCAGCCCAAACGGACUAAGACACAGAACAUAGCCUGUGCCUCUUCCAGUUUCUUCAGGAUCCUUCUGGGCUCAGAGAAUGGAGCUAAGAGGAAGAUUCUACCAUUAGGGCUGGUCUUCACCUGUCUCUUAAGACUGAUGGGCUCCCCAUUUGAAUGACAUUGAUCAACCCGACAUUAACCCAUUGGGUAUGGCUGGGGCAGCUCCUCUUAUCUGUGAGGUGGGAACCAGGUUGGUAAUGUUGCAUCCUGUUAGCCAGGUUCCUAGUUCAGUUUAGCUGUUGUGCAGGUCAAGGACUCUUAAGGAUUGAAUUGCAUCCCUUCAAAAGAUAUUGAAGUCCUAACCCCCAGAAUCGGUGACUGUGACCUUAUUUGGAAAUGGGUCUUUGCAGACACAAUCAAGUUAAGAUGAGGUCAUAUUGGAUUAAAGUGGUGUGUAAUUCAAUAGAUGAUCUCUUUAAUGAAAAGGGAAAUUUGUACUGAGAAACACAGAGGGAAAUGCUAUGUGAAGAUGGAGGCAGAGAUUGGAGUGAUUUGGAGCAAUGUGUAUGUCUGCAAGCCAAGGAACACCAAGUAUUGCCAGCCAUCACCAGAGCUGGAGGAGGGGCCUGGAACAGAUUCCCACUAGAGCCCCCAAAAGGAUCCAACCCUGCUGACACUUUGACUUUGGAGUUGUGGCCUUCAGAACUGUGAGAGAAUUAAUUUGUGUUGUUUUGAGCCACUCAGAGUGUGGUAUUUUGUUAUAGAAGUCCUUGGAUACUAAUAAAGACAUUAAUAGCCAGAUCGGAGGCACCCCCUCCAAGGCCUGAGAGAAGGUUGUUUUAUGGAACCCUGGUUUAGUAGCUGGGACCACAGAUGCGUGCCACCAUGCCUGGCUAUUUUUUUAAAUUUUUUGUACAGAUGGCAUCUUGCUGUGUUGCCCAGGAUUCUGGCUAGGGACUGUGGUUGCAGGUGCUGGGGCUAAUGAAAAUGGGCAAGAGCAGAAUAGCACAGUAACAUCUAUUCUCUAAAUCGACAAUCUUUUCCAGACUACGGUUUAAGAAUCUGUGCCCGAUGAAGCUGAAGGGGGCCUCAGAACUGGUCUCGUGGUCCUCCUCUCAGCUCUGAGGUACUUGUGGCUUGUGGCAGAGCCGCUAUGGACGUCGCUGACCUAGUGGUCAGUGCAUACAUCUGCAGAAAGGUCACUCUACAUUCAAGUGAACCAAUAGAGUGUCUAGAAAUCUCAAUUCAUGGUGUGUGGGGGCAAGAUGCCCAUUCUGACCCUUUAAGGGGGCAUCAACAUUUCAGAGGGUGGUAGGAGUGGUGAUGAGUCCUCCUUAGGGUGAAAGUUCACCCCUUUGGGCUACUAGAGGGCAGUCAUUGGUAUAAUUUCUCUAUUUUAAGCAUUCUGAUGUUUGAUUACAACUUACCCAUGGAAGGCUGAGUUUGUAGUUACUGAACCUUUCCAAGGCUGGGUAGCGUGCCUUCUCUCCCGAAUGCUAUGGAGUUCUACAGUGUGCCAGCAUCUGUUUCUGUAGCUCCUUCUUUCAUCACUGAUGGACGUUUAGAUUGUUUCCAGUUUCUACUACCACAAACAGUGCUUCAGUGACCAUCCUUAGCUGUGGCUUCUUGUGUAUGUGUGAGGAUUUCUUCAGAAUCAGGUCUCCACCUUGGACACUGUCCAUAUAUUGGGCCAGAUAAUUAUUUAGUGUUGGGGGUGCUGUCCUGUGCACUGUAGAACGCUUAGCAGCACUUAGCAGCAUCCCUGGCCUCCACCCACUAGGUGUCAGUAGUGUGCACUACUUAUCACCACCAAAAAUGUCCCCACAUGGUGUCAAAUAUCCACUGGGGGAAACAUUGGCCUUCCCGCCUGUUCAGAACCAUUGGGAUAGAUGAAAAAUGUGAGGC